AGUGUACUCCCUCCGUUUGGAAUUACUUGUCUCGAAAAUGGAUGUAUCUAGAACUAAAAUACGUCUAGAUACAUCCAUUUCUGCGACAAGUAAUUCCGAACGGAGGGAGUAUUUA
rnacentral:pre_miRNA from 1 species